ACUCAGUGAAAUUGAACUCGCUGUGAAGAUGCAGUGUACCCGCGGCAAGACGGAAAGACCCCGUGAACCUUUACUAUAGCUUGACACUGAACAUUGAGCCUUGAUGUGUAGGAUAGGUGGGAGGCUUUGAAGUGUGGACGCCAGUCUGCAUGGAGCCGACCUUGAAAUACCACCCUUUAAUGUUUGAUGUUCUAACGUUGACCCU
rnacentral:rRNA from 1 species